rnacentral:lncRNA from 1 species
AAGGAGUGCUCUGUGCCCGAUUUCUGGGCAGAGAUCACUGGGGAAGAGAGUAGUUAUGGCAGCAUAGAGAAGGAAAUGACAGGAGAGGACAAAUCAUAAUUUAGAAAAGUGUUGAGGCAAAAAUACAUUUUCCUUCUCAUUUUAUGCUGAAGAAAAAAUGACCUUUGAAAGUUAAAUUGGCAAACACAUGGGUUACACAAGACUGAACUUUAGUUUUAUAGAAAAGAGCUUCCUGGUAAGGUCAGCAAAGCAUGGAUUCUGUCCCAAGGAAACAUGGAAUUCCAAGCUCACCAAAAUGGGCUCUACAUUAUUAUUCAACCAGUGGAAUUUUAGCCUCGUCAUAUCUUGGAGUGGAACAUGGAUUGAAUAUCAGUUGUAGAAAGAUUACAGUGACUUGGGAUCCAUUGUUUAACACAGCUUGACACAGCUCUUUAUCAAACUUCCUUGGAUCUUCACUUCUGGUCCCGUCAUCUUUGAAGUAUCACCAAGCAUGGUAGCAAGGGGAAGGGAAUUCUGGAGCAUCUCAUACUAGCAUUGAAAUGUUUUGGUUCUACUCCCAUUUACAACUUGUUGGCCUGAAUUACUCACCUGACCCCCUGCAAGUACAAUCUGACCAAGAUGAAACCCUGAGACUUAACGUCACAAGGUCCUGAAAGCACCUACCUGUCUGAGGAAGUCUACCGCCCCUAUUAACUGGGAGACUUUGCCUACAUAAAGGUAUUCUCCAGGGAAGCUGGGCUGUCGUCACACUGGGAGAGACCUUUCAAGCGCUGCUGAUCAUCCACGUGGCUAUCAAAGUGAAAACAAAAUCCAGCUGGAUUUGCGCUUCCCAUGGGACCCCAACUUCUGAGGAGGACUCGACUGUGGUUCCAAAAAAAAGGUCUUAAAACUUAAAAUUCGGUACAGAAUACAAUGGAAAGGAAGUAUUCUAGCAAACUCAUUACUAUUCUCUUGGACCGUGUUGCUGUCCUAUUCACAGUAACAUUAUUUCAAUUACUCUAAGAAUCACAUUUUAUUAGAA